rnacentral:rRNA from 1 species
AGCGGCUAGGGGGGUUAGCUUUGUGUGCUGUGUUUAGGUUUCGGUUCUCUGCUCUUCUCUUCGUCUCUCUUGACGUUAAACGAGGGGGCGGGGGGUUUAGGAGCGAGGGCCGGGCCAGCGGCGGCAGUACCUCCUGCUGCUGGUGCUGACGCUGGGGCUGAGCCGGCGGCGACCGGGCACGACGAGGAGCGGCAGGCGCCGCCAGGCCACCGCCGCGAGGCACUUCGCCUUCGACCCGCUCCUCUUCUCCCCGCCCCCGCCCCUGCCCCUCCUCCUCCCCCGCCCCCGCCCCCGCGCCCACCUCCGCCUCCUCCUCUGGCGCCGCGACGCCCUCCGCGACCGCCGCCGCGUCCGGUGGCGGCGCCGCGACGCCCCGCUCCACCUCCUCCUCGCGGAGCGGCGCCGGUCGCGGCGGUCGCUCCGGUACCGGUACUACGACGCGGACGUCGCCCUCUUCCGGCUCCACGUCUACCUCGACGCGGUCAAGGCGGCGAAGCGGCUGCUCUUCUACCGCGAGCUGCGGCGGCUCUAGCUGGUGGAGGCGCCGGAGCAGCGGGCGGCGCGCGCGGUGGAGCGCGCGCGGGCGAGGUCCGAGGUGCGGAUGGUCGUCUGGACGGAGGCGGAGCCGUAGGGCGAGGGGCUGCGGCGGCUGCUCCGGCUCCCCGCCCAGGUACCGGUACCCCUCCCGCCGCUGCCGAAGGAGCUCCCGCUCCCGCCGCCGCUCCCGCUCCUGCUGCUGAUGAUGGGGCUCGAGGCGACGAUGUUGCCCCUCAUGAUGAUGCUGCUGCCGGACCUCCCCUCGCUCCUCCUGCGCCACCCGCGCCUAGACCUCGCGGCCUAGACGGAGGAGCUCGUGCCGGUGCUACCCCUACAUGAUCCAGUUGGCAGGGACCUCCUUCUCCUUCUCCCUCUCCUCCCGCGGGUGGACAUACGUCUCCUCCGUAACGACCUCGGCCGACCCGUCCUUUGUUGGCCUAAAAGACGGCUGCUCCACAAUGUACUCCUCUGACAUGUUGUUUCCUCGGUAGAGACACUACUACUACUCAACGGUCUAAGAGGGCAACGACCUAUACCGCAGCUUCUUCCCCCUUCACUGCUGCUACCAAGACCGUCGCCGUCGCUGUCCCAGAUGUACUAGCUGUUCCACGUAGUUCCACGCCGUCGAGGAUGGCGGUCCCAGGACCUCUUCAUGCUCCUACUCCGCGAGCUCGGUCUGUAAUUCUGUGAUAUGUACUCCGACCUUCACGACCUCCGACUGGCCCUUAGCUACGCGGUCCGAGACGACCCUUACGCGUGACUCUUUCGAGUCGAAUACGAAGAAGCCCUCUAUCGUGUUGUCGAUCGGUUUCUGCGGCGAGGUCAACCGUGACCCCGACCCAGACAAGGUCAACAGGUGGUAAACGGGUCUUUCGUUCGACACCCCCAGCGUCUAUGUUGCCAGUCCCUUCUGUUCUUCUGUCGUGGGCGGCCCUGUAAGAGGUUCGGGAACAACAAAUUCACCCGGUAGCGUAAUAAAACGAGAGCUUUUUUCUUCGGUAGUGUUUCGUCCAUAUGUAAACCUAAUAGUUCAUUGUUACACCCAAACGAGUAUGAGAACCUGUUCACGGGAGCCUAAGUCUUUUGAGAGUACUCUUCUUUCAUUUCGGACAGACUUCUUCGACGACGACGGAUUACAUUUAUUGUAUCGGCAACCAACCCUUCAGACGUAGUUUAGUGUAAAAGAAUAAGUUCCCAACCCUCCUCUACCACAACAAAAUUAAGAAAUCAACAACUACUAAAGAGAAACCGGGGUCCUCCCCUACCCCUAGGAACACGGUACUAGGUCUUUAACAGUUACACCCAAAACCCCCCAACGAAAACGAAUAUAAAAGAGUGGUCGUUUCCGAUAUACGAACAUAUCACGCGCACACCUGGACGCCACUGACGACCAACAAAAACGAACGAAAGUCUAACUACCGCCUACUCAACUAUAGUUCCUUUAAUCGACGUGUAAACACGUUUGACAUAGACUACACAGAAAAAACAGUCAUGUCUUAGACAACCGCACCAACUAAACCACACAUGUGUACACACUUCGAUAGUACAGUAGAACCCUCUUUUCGUGCGAAGCCACUAACAGAAAAGCGAUUCUUUCUUGUGAUCGUCUCGUCUUUGAACUGAUAAACUCACAUAUCAGUCCAAAGUAAAACUUGUAAACUUUGUGACAUCCAUUAGACACUG